UACCUCGGGGAAACUCGAGCUAAUACCGCAUGACAUCGUUUGGGACGAAAGUCCUGACGAUCAAAGCGGGGUCGCAAGAUCUCGCGCUACCGGAUGGGCCCGCGCCCGAUUAGCUAGUUGGUGAGGUAACGGCUCACCAAGGCUUCGAUCGGUAACCGGCCUGAGAGGGCGAUCGGUCACACCGGAACUGAGACACGGUCCGG
rnacentral:rRNA from 1 species